rnacentral:rRNA from 1 species
UACGUAGGGACCAAGCGUUGUCCGGAAUCAUUGGGCGUAAAGAGCGUGUAGGCGGCUUGUUAAGUCUUGCGUGAAAUCUCGGGGCUCAACCCCGAGCGGUCGUGAGAAACUGGCAGGCUAGAGUGCGGGAGAGGAGAGUGGAAUUCCUGGUGUAGUGGUGAAAUGCGCAGAUAUCAGGAGGAACACCGGUGGCGAAGGCGGGUCUCUGGGCAACAACUGACGCUGAGGAGCGAAAGCGUGGGGAGCGAACAGG